UUGAUAUGGUAGGAGAGCGUUCUGUAAGCCUGCGAAGGUGUCUUGUAAAGGAUGCUGGAGGUAUCAGAAGUGCGAAUGCUGACAUGAGUAGCGAUAAUGGGGGUGAAAAGCCUCCACGCCGUAAGCCCAAGGUUUCCUGUUCAACGUUCAUCGGAGCAGGGUGAGUCGGCCCCUAAGGCGAGGCAGAGAUGCGUAGCUGAUGGGAAGCAGGUUAAUAUUCCUGCACCGUCGUUAGAUGCGAUGGGGGGACGGAUCGCGGAAGGUUGUCCGGGUGUUGGAUGUCCCGGUUCCUGUAUCAGAGAAGGCUGUUAGGCAAAUCCGGCAGCGUAAUUCAAGGGUAUGGGACGAGCGAACUUGUUCGCGAAGCAAUUGGAAGUGGUUCCAAGAAAAGCCUCUAAGCUUCAGUCUAACGAGACCGUACCGCAAACCGACACAGGUGGGCGAGAUGAGUAUUCUAAGGCGCUUGAGAGAACUCGGGAGAAGGAACUCGGCAAAUUUGUACCGUAACUUCGGGAUAAGGUACGCCCUAGUAGUUUGACUGGCCUGCGCCAGAAGGACAAACGGGUUGCAAUAAAAAGGUGGCUGCGACUGUUUAAUAAAAACACAGCACUCUGCAAACACGAAAGUGGACGUAUAGGGUGUGACGCCUGCCCGGUGCUGGAAGAUUAAAUGAUGGGGUGCAAGCUCUUGAUUGAAGUCCCAGUAAACGGCGGCCGUAACGAUAACGGUCCUAAGGUAGCGAAAUUCCUUGUCGGGUAAGUUCCGACCUGCACGAAUGGCGUAACGAUGGCCACACUGUCUCCUCCCGAGACUCAGCGAAGUUGAAAUGUUUGUGAUGAUGCAAUCUACCCGCGGCUAGACGGAAAGACCCCAUGAACCUUUACUGUAGCUUUGCAUUGGACUUUGAACCAAUCUGUGUAGGAUAGGUGGGAGGCUUUGAAGUAGGGACGCUAGUCUCUAUGGAGCCAUCCUUGAAAUACCACCCUGGUUUGUUUGAGGUUCUAACCUUGGUCCGUUAUCCGGAUCGGGGACAGUGCAUGGUAGGCAGUUUGACUGGGGCGGUCUCCUCCCAAAGUGUAACGGAGGAGUUCGAAGGUACGCUAGAUACGGUCGGACAUCGUGUUGAUAGUGCAAUGGCAUAAGCGUGCUUAACUGCGAGACUGACAAGUCGAGCAGGUACGAAAGUAGGACAUAGUGAUCCGGUGGUUCUGUAUGGAAGGGCCAUCGCUCAACGGAUAAAAGGUACUCUGGGGAUAACAGGCUGAUUCCUCCCAAGAGUUCAUAUCGACGGGGGAGUUUGGCACCUCGAUGUCGGCUCAUCACAUCCUGGGGCUGUAGCCGGUCCCAAGGGUAUGGCUGUUCGCCAUUUAAAGUGGUACGUGAGCUGGGUUUAAAACGUCGUGAGACAGUUUGGUCCCUAUCUGCCGUGGGCGUUGGAAGUUUGAAGGGGGCUGCUCCUAGUACGAGAGGACCGGAGUGGACGAACCUCUGGUGUAUCGGUUGUCACGCCAGUGGCAUUGCCGAGUAGCUAAGUUCGGAAGAGAUAACCGCUGAAAGCAUCUAAGCGGGGAACUCGCCUUGAGAGGAGACUUCCCGGGAGUUUAACUCCCCUAAAGGGUCGUUCGAGACCAGGACGUUGAUAGGUCAGGUGUGGAAGCGCAGUAAUGCGUUAAGCUAACUGAUACUAAUUGCCCGUGUGGCUUGUCCU
rnacentral:rRNA from 1 species